CCCUCCGGUCCUUUUUAUAAGGAACACUUUGAAAAAAUCACACAGACCAAUGAAACACAUUUAAUAUAGUUAUUUUCAUUUAAUACUCUUAUAAAUUUAAAUUUAUUCCAUGUAUACCCUUAUUUAAUUACUCUUUAUUCAACUAACUUACUUAUUUUUAAAUUCUCUUUCAUAAUAAAUAAGGGCAUAAGUGAAAUUGAACAUUUAAAACAUUUGAAAAUUGGUCAAAGUUUCUUAUAAAAA
rnacentral:lncRNA from 1 species